CAAUAAUUGCUCCUUUGGCAGCAGCUGUUCUUUGCCAAGCCUUAAAGAACAUGACCCGUUGCAUAUGCAGAUUGGUACUCAGAUUUCUCAAAUUGUCUCUGCUAGCUCCCUUUCCAGUAUGCUAGUCCACAUACUACAGCUGCCUUAAACUUCUUGAACUCUGAAAUAUUUAUGCUUCAAAGAAUAAGAAUAUGUUUGGAGUUAUCUCUAUCUAUGCCAUAGUCUAGGAAUUUCCUUCUGACAAGAAGCUGUGCCAAUCAUAAGACUGGCCAUAUUUGCUUCCUUUCUUUCAAGAAUCAUGGUUGUGCAAUUCCUAAUAUCCAAGUCUUAAAACAGUUGUUUCAUACAUUUUUCCAGUUUUCUAGUUAUUUCAUCUAUCUUGGCCAGUUUGCCAGUUGUUUAAGACCACAAAUACUGGAGAAUGGGUGGAAGCAAAAAUUCCUUUUAUAGGUGGAAGCAAAAAUCCUUUAAAUAAUUUUGUAUUUAACUGUUGCAUAGUUUAUUAUUCCAUUUGGCUGACUCUGAGUUUACAGUCACACUAUGUGGAUUCUUUUUUAAUAAUAACUUUUUAAUAUAGAGACAGGGUCUCAUCAUGUUGCCUAGGCUGGUCUCAAAAUCCUGGGCUCAAGCAAUCCUCCUGCCUUGGUGCCUUCGUCUCCCAAGGUGCUGGGAAUACAGGCAUGAGCCACCAUGUCUGGCCUCUCUGGAUUCCUUACCGGCACACUCGCAGAGGGCAUUGCAAGAUGGCCGAAUAGGAACAGUUCUGGUCUGCAGCUCCCAGCAUGAUCAACGCAGAAGACGGGUGAUUUCUGCAUUUCCAACUGAGGUACCUGGUUCAUCUCAUUGGGACUGGUUGGACAGUGGGUGCAGUCCACAGAGGGUGAGCUAAAGCAGGGCAGGGUGUUGCCUCACCCGGGAAGCAAAAGGGGUCAGGGGAUUUCCCUUUCCUAGCCAAAGGAAGCUGUGACAGACUACCUGGAAAAAUGGGGCACUCUCACCUAAAUACUGCACUUUUCCCAAGGUCUUAGCAACCGGCAGAUAUGGUGAUUGUCUCCCGUGCCUGGUUUGGCAGGUCCCACGCCCACAGAGCCUUGCUCACUGCUAAGGCAGCAGUCUGAGAUUGAUCUGUGAGGCAGCAGCCUGGCUGGGGGAGGGGCGUCUGCCAUUGCUGAGGCUUGAGUUGGUAAACAAAGUGGCCCGGAAGCUCAAACCGGGCACAGCCCACCACAGCUCAACAAGGCCUAUUGCCUCUAGGCUCCAUCUCUGUGCGCAAGGCGUAGCUGCACAAAAGGCAGCAGAAACUUCUGCAGACUUAAACGUCCCUGUCUGACAGCUGUGAAGAGAGCAGUGGUUCUCCCAGCACAGUGUUUGAGUUCUGAGAACGGACAGACUGCCUCCUCAAGUGGGUCCC
rnacentral:lncRNA from 10 species